rnacentral:rRNA from 1 species
ACCGACUAAUGUUGAAAAAUUAGCGGAUGACCUGUGGCUGGGGGUGAAAGGCCAAUCAAACCGGGAGAUAGCUGGUUCUCCCCGAAAGCUAUUUAGGUAGCGCCUCGUGAACUCAUCUUCGGGGGUAGAGCACUGUUUCGGCUAGGGGGCCAUCCCGGCUUACCAACCCGAUGCAAACUACGAAUACCGAAGAAUGUUAUCACGGGAGACACACGGCGGGUGC